CCGUAGCCCAAGAGAUCGGGAUAACACCUGGAAACAGAUGCUAAUACCGGAUAACAACAGAUGAUGCCUAUCAACUGUUUAAAAGAUGGUUCUGCUAUCACUCUUGGAUGGACCUGCGGUGCAUUAGCUAGUUGGUAGGGUAACGGCCUACCAAGGCGAUGAUGCAUAGCUGAGUUGAGAGACUGAUCGGCCACAUUGGGACUGAGACACGGCCCAAACUCCUACGGGAGGCAGCAGUA
rnacentral:rRNA from 1 species